GCAGAAUACUUAUCAAUUCAAUCAAGGGGAAUGCCACAAUAUGGAGGAGGCUUUUUCCUCUUUUUCAGUAGAAAGAGAGUUACUGAUGGAGGUCUUUCCCUAAUAAUUCCUUUCUGAACUUUACCAAUUACUGAGUUGACAUCUUCCUGAUACUUCUAUUCAUAACACUGUUUAAUGAGAGGACAGGUCAAUUAUUAUAUAUACCUCCUGCUGAAGUUCCUCCCAUCGACUAUUGAACUUCUCAAGUUUCUCGUUGAUUAAUUCAUCCAGGAUUCCAC